rnacentral:rRNA from 1 species
UGCGUAGGCGGAUAAAUAAGUCAGUGGUGAAAUCUUCCGGCUCAACCGGGAAACUGCCAUUGAUACUGUUUAUCUUGAGUUCGGUAGAGGUAGGCGGAAUGUGUAAUGUAGCGGUGAAAUGCUUAGAUAUUACACAGAACACCAAUUGCGUAGGCAGCUUACUAGACCGACACUGACGCUGAGGCACGAAAGCGUGGGUAGCGAACAGGAUUAGAUACCCGAGUAGUCC